rnacentral:rRNA from 1 species
CCUACGGGAGGCAGCAGUGGGGAAUAUUGGGCAAUGGGCGCAAGCCUGACCCAGCAACGCCGCGUGAAGGAAGAAGGCUUUCGGGUUGUAAACUUCUUUUAUCAGGGACGAAGCAAGUGACGGUACCUGACGAAUAAGCCACGGCUAACUACGUGCCAGCAGCCGCGGUAAUACGUAGGUGGCAAGCGUUAUCCGGAUUUAUUGGGUGUAAAGGGCGUGUUGUCGGGACUGCAAGUCAGAUGUGAAAACUAUGGGCUCAACCCAGAGCCUGCAUUUGAAACUGUAUUACUUGAGUGCUGGAGAGGCAAUCGGAAUUCCGUGUGUAGCGGUGAAAUGCGUAGAUAUACGGAGGAACACCAGUGGCGAAGGCGAAUUGCUGGACAGUAACUGACGCUGAGGCGCGAAAGCGUGGGGAGCAAACAGGAUUAGAUACCCUUGUAGUC